UACGUAGGGGGCAAGCGUUGUCCGGAUUUAUUGGGCGUAAAGAGCGUGUAGGCGGCUAGGUAGGUCCGUUGUGAAAACUCGAGGCUCAACCUCGAGACGCCGGUGGAAACCAUCUAGCUAGAGUCCGGAAGAGGAGAGUGGAAUUCCUGGUGUAGCGGUGAAAUGCGCAGAUAUCGGGAGGAACACCGGUGGCGAAGGCGGUUCUCUGGGCCUGUACUGACGCUGAGGAGCGAAAGCGUGGGGAGCGAACAGG
rnacentral:rRNA from 1 species